rnacentral:lncRNA from 1 species
AGACGGAGCUGAACAGUUGGAGAGGAGCAAUCUCACUGAGGAACAUGGACAGGCUGUGUGCUCACAGAAUUCUAGUUGCUCAUCUGACAGCACCCAGAAUAGUAAUAAAAGAAAGAGGCUUGCCUCACCUUCACAUGGCAACAUACAGGCACAUGGUGAGUAUAUUUUAAUUUUAUUACCAUAUCUAUUAGUUUGGUGUUCUCUCCAGCUGCUCAUCAGACAGCACCCAGAAUAGCAAUAAAAGGAAGAGGCCUGCCUCACCUUCACAUGGCAACAUACAGGCUCAUGGUGAGUAUAUUUAAAUUUUUUUACCAUACUUGUUAGUUUGGUAUGCUGUUGCUGAUGUUUUUGUUUAUUUUGUUUGACAAUAGGUAGCAUUAUCCACAUUCGGUUGUCUAA